CCUACGGGUGGCUGCAGUGGGGAAUAUUGGACAAUGGGGGGAACCCUGAUCCAGCCAUGCCGCGUGUGUGAAGAAGGCCCUCGGGUUGUAAAGCACUUUCAGUGAGGAAGAACGCCUGGUGGUUAAUACCCAUCAGGAAAGACAUCACUCACAGAAGAAGCACCGGCUAACUCCGUGCCAGCAGCCGCGGUAAUACGGAGGGUGCGAGCGUUAAUCGGAAUUACUGGGCGUAAAGCGCGCGUAGGUGGCUUGAUAAGCCGGUUGUGAAAGCCCCGGGCUCAACCUGGGAACGGCAUCCGGAACUGUCAAUCUAGAGUGCAGGAGAGGAAGGUAGAAUUCCCGGUGUAGCGGUGAAAUGCGUAGAGAUCGGGAGGAAUACCAGUGGCGAAGGCGGCCUUCUGGACUGACACUGCCACUGAGGUGCGAAAGCGUGGGUAGCAAACAGGAUUAGAUACCCUAGUAGUC
rnacentral:rRNA from 1 species